AGUGAACGCUGGCGGUAGGCCUAACACAUGCAAGUCGAACGGCAGCACAGUAAGAGCUUGCUCUUACGGGUGGCGAGUGGCGGACGGGUGAGGAAUACAUCGGAAUCUACUUUUUCGUGGGGGAUAACGUAGGGAAACUUACGCUAAUACCGCAUACGACCUACGGGUGAAAGCAGGGGAUCUUCGGACCUUGCGCGAUUGAAUGAGCCGAUGUCGGAUUAGCUAGUUGGCGGGGUAAAGGCCCACCAAGGCGACGAUCCGUAGCUGGUCUGAGAGGAUGAUCAGCCACACUGGAACUGAGACACGGUCCAGACUCCUACGGGAGGCAGCAGUGGGGAAUAUUGGACAAUGGGCGCAAGCCUGAUCCAGCCAUACCGCGUGGGUGAAGAAGGCCUUCGGGUUGUAAAGCCCUUUUGUUGGGAAAGAAAAGCAGCAGGCUAAUACCCCGCCGUUCUGACGGUACCCAAAGAAUAAGCACCGGCUAACUUCGUG
rnacentral:rRNA from 1 species